AUAGGAGUUGCCAGCGGGGCGGGCUUUGUACUUCUGAUUUUUAUCGGGCUCUUUAUUUCCAAAAAAUUGAAGCACAAAAGGGCACAAAUGUUGAAGCGAAAGUUCUUUGAGCAGAACCGUGGUCAAUUAUUGCAACAAUUGGUAUCCCAAAGAGCCGAUAUUGCAGAAAGGAUGAUCAUACCUUUAGAAGAGCUAGAGAAGGCAACAAAUAACUUUGAUAAAGCUCGUGAGCUUGGUGGUGGAGGGCAUGGCACCGUCUACAAAGGAAUUUUAUCAGACCUCCAUGUUGUGGCUAUCAAGAGACCAAAGAAGGUGGUUCAAAAAGAGAUUGAUGAGUUUAUAAAUGAGGUUGCUAUACUGUCACAAAUCAACCAUCGGAAUGUGGUAAAACUCUAUGGUUGUUGUCUUGAAACAGAAGUCCCAAUGUUGGUCUAUGAGUUCAUAUCAAAUGGAACCCUUUAUGAUCAUCUUCAUGUUGAAGGACCAAGAUCAUUGUCAUGGAGCGACAGGCUACGAAUAGCAAUUGAAACAGCUAAAUCCCUAGCAUAUCUUCACUCGACAGCUUCAAUACCUAUCAUCCAUAGAGAUAUCAAGUCAGUUAACAUACUUUUGGACGAUACUCUAACAACAAAGGUAGCAGAUUUUGGAGCUUCAAGGUAUAUUUCAGUGGAGAAAUCAGGGUUAACAACCAUGGUGCAAGGUACCAUCGGAUAUUUAGACCCUAUGUACUUCUAUACAGAGAGACUUACGGAGAAAAGUGAUGUCUACAGUUUUGGUGUCAUGGUUGUAGAACUGUUGACCAGAAAGAAGCCAUUUUCAUAUUUAUCCCCUAGCGGUGAUGGUAUUGUUGCACAUUUUGCUAUGUUAUUUGCAGAAGAUAACUUGUCGCAGAUACUAGAUCCACAAGUUAUAAAUGAGUGGAGCAAAGAAGUCCAUGAAGUCGCUGCACUUGCAAUAGCAUGUACACAGUUAAAAGGAGAGGAUCGCCCAACCAUGCGACAAGUGGAGUUGACAUUGGAAAACUUACAAUCAUCAAUGCAUAUUGUUUCAGAUAAUGUGGUGGAUGAGGAAUUUGAGAAUGACGUUAUUCCAACAAAUUGCCCAAUGAAUGAGCAUGAAAGAGGCAGCGAUGAGGAUUCAACAAGACAAUAUAGUAUGGAAGAAGAGUUCAUGAUAUCAUCAAGGUAUCCUCGGUAG
rnacentral:rRNA from 1 species